CGUAACUUUUCCAUUACUCGCGCUAGAGUUGUUCACACUGGUUUAGAUUUUCGGUUUAGUCCUGUUAAGCGUUGUUCAAUUGGUUUUCGGGUCAAACUAUCUGUUGAACCGAACCGAUCCGAUCUGCAGUGUGCUUGUUCGUCAUCUCAGGUUUUGAUUCAUUUUCUCGCUGAAGCUAUCGGCUCUGUUUUCAAAGACCAUUUCAAUGACAUCCUUAGAUAUUCGUUCACUGCUUGUAUUCUCUGCCAUUUUUCGAGUUAUUUUGAUUGUGUAUGGAGAGUGGCAAGAUACUCAUAUGGAGGUUAGAUACACUGAUGUUGACUACCUUGUCUUUUCUGAUGCUGCUGCUUUAAUGGCUGUGGGUGAUUCCCCCUAUAAGAGAACCACUUAUCGCUAUUCCCCUUUGCUUGCCUUUCUUCUCAUUCCAAAUUCAUUUAUCCAUCGCUCCUGGGGAAAGUUCCUUUUCUCUGCUUCAGAUAUACUUGUAGGAUAUUUCAUAUAUUAUAUUCUAAAGCUACGGAAGGCUCCAGAAAAUAUGUGCAACAUUUCUGUCAUGGCAUGGCUCUUUAAUCCAUUUACCUUCACCAUUGGGACACGUGGAAACUGUGAGCCUAUUGUUUGUGCAGUGAUAUUGUGGAUCAUGAUCUGUCUUUUGAAAGGUAAUGUGUUACAGUCAGCAUUUUGGUAUGGACUUGUUGUCCAUUUCAGGAUUUAUCCUAUAAUUUACUCUAUUCCUAUAAUCCUGGUUCUUGAUCCGAACUUCUUCCCAUCUAAUCAGAAACCUGUCCUAAGGAACUGGAGUGCUGUUCAAGGAGAGAGACCUAAAGAUGGAAGUGGCUCGCAUACUUUACACAAUCUAUUUAAAAGCAUAUUCACGUGGAACAGGGUGGUAUUUGGACUGGUCUCAGGAUUGGUUUUCCUCUUUUGUACUGGUCUUUUCUACUGUUUAUAUGAGUGGGAAUUCCUACACGAGGCUCUGUUGUACCAUCUUACUAGAACUGAUCCAAGGCAUAACUUCUCCAUCUAUUUCUAUCACAUAUAUCUUCAUUAUGGGUAUGAUACUUCAGUGGUGGAAAAGCUUAUCUCCUUUUUGCCCCAAUUUUUGGUUCAGCUGGUUCUUAUCUUCUGCUUUGCACAAGAUUUGCCAUUUUGCAUAUUUGUGCAGACCGUGGCCUUUGUGGCAUUCAAUAAGGUGAUUACAGCUCAGUAUUUUGUUUGGUUCUUUUGCUUGUUGCCUCUAAUACUUCCUUGGAGUAAAAUGAAACUUAGAUGGGAUGGGUUAUCUUGCAUUCUUUUGUGGAUUGGGGCUCAGACCCAUUGGUUGAUGUGGGGCUACCUGCUUGAGUUCAAGGGUAAAAAUGUCUUCUUGCAGCUUUGGGCAGCAAGCUUACUGUUUCUAGCAGCCAACAUAUACAUCCUUGUCAUGAUUAUUCGUAACCAUAGAUAUGCUUCAGUUUUCAAAGCUUUAGAGUAUGCUAACUCCAAGAAUGCAGCUAAGCUUGAUUGAAGUUGAGAACCAACAAUCAUGUCAAAAUUCGUGGACUAUUAUAUUUUAAACGUGAAAAACAAAUUGGUGAAAUCGAUGUAUUCUUGUUAUGUUAAUCCUGUAAUCUUUUUUCAAUGCAUUAUCUUAAUCAAUGAAUAUGUUUUUAUCGCUGUCAGCCUUUUGUUAAAUUGUUAUUGAUCUGAACUUGUAGAAUUGACCUUAAGAUCUUUCGAGAAACUCUCCUUAUUCUCCUCUGCUGUAUUUGAAAACAUGUCAGUUACAAUUUACAAAUUGAUGUUUAAUCAAGGGUCAAAAUUCCUGCCAAGUAACCCCUGAAUCUGAACUAGUUUUAAGGACCAAACUUGCCCACUGGUUUUAUCCCUAAAUCUAGACGGUAGGGCCAGUUCGUCUGAUUGUAAGGAGUCAAGGAGAAAGUGUAAUUUACAUAAAGCAUCAGAACGUCCUAAUGGUUAAAUUGACAGGAUUGUUGGAAAUAGAGCAGUUGUUGAAUAUAUUAUUAGUUCUAGCAUAACAGAGAUAUAGAUUUUUAAGAGUAAAGAAGCCAAUGGGAAGCAUGACAAAAACUUGCAUAUCAAACCAACAGCUAAUGUUCUUCAGGCGUCAAUUGCAUACUCCUCCGACAUUUUCUUGAUUACUGGACAAUUUAAUACAUUGCCAAACUUUACCCAAACAAACAUGGUAGACGAGAAUUGUCAUGAAAUGAAGAUAAAAGGAUGUUGGUAUCAGAGGUGUACCAUGUGAGAUGUGGUGUACCUAAACAACAUCAAGUCAUUGCUCUUUGAAUUUAUUACUGCUUUAAAAGGGUAUCUGAGAUUCGUCAACUACAACCUGUAAAAAAGGCGAGGGAUAUUCUCAUUUGGGAAUUUGCGUGCCGGUCCUUAGUGUUUUCAGGCUUAGGCAAAGCUUAGUUGAAAUGAGACCACACAUUGAGAUGAAGCCACACAGAAAACCUUAGUGGCCAAACUUCAUGGCUCAUUCUGCAAACAUUCUGCCAGCCUUCUGAUGCUGAAGAAGAUUGUAUCUCCCAAAGUGUGGUGAGGUUAGAAACAUGGGACUCGUUGGGGUCCUGUUUCUGUGAGCUUGAGGUUUUCUAAUGUUGAAACCCUAGAGGCCUAAGGUAUGGUAAGACUAAGGUUGUCCUUUGGCCAUUGGAGCGAAGUCAGAUUAGACAAAUGGCAACCACCUCCAAUGCCAAAAAGAUGAUGAUGGGGGACAUAGAAGAGGAGGAUACCACACGUAGCGGUCAACCUCGCUAUAGCGGGAUAAAUUAUAGAGGGGUAGUCACUAUUUUGAAUUUUUUAUGUAGUUUAUAUCAUGUAUACUAAACACAUUUAUAUUAACAAUGAUCUUAACAAAAAAUACAAAAAUAUACUAACGAGUCAAAUUCAAGUUUCCUAUAUAGGAAUAACUAAUGAUUCAUCACUCUUUUUAAAUC